rnacentral:pre_miRNA from 1 species
AUUUCUACUUUAACAAUAGUUCUGACCUUUGGGUAGAAUUUGGUAAGUGCUAUUUGUUGGGUAGUUUUA